CAGCACCUCAAGUGGUCAGGAUGAUUAUUGGGCCUAAAGCAUCCGUAGCCGGCGCUGUAAGUUUUCGGUUAAAUCUGUACGCUCAACGUACAGGCUGCCGGGAAUACUGCAGCGCUAGGGAGUGGGGGAGGUAGACGGUACUCGGUAGGAAGGGGUAAAAUCCUUUGAUCUAUUGAUGACCACCUGUGGCGAAGGCGGUCUACCAGAACACGUCCGACGGUGAGGGAUGAAAGCUGGGGGAGCAAACCGGAUUAGAUACCCGCGUAGUCC
rnacentral:rRNA from 1 species